AACGAACGCUGGCGGCAUGCCUAACACAUGCAAGUCGAACGAGAUCCUUCGGGGUCUAGUGGCGCACGGGUGCGUAACGCGUGGGAAUCUGCCCUUAGGUUCGGAAUAACAGUUAGAAAUGACUGCUAAUACCGGAUGAUGUCGUUAAGUCCAAAGAUUUAUCGCCUGAGGAUGAGCCCGCGUAGGAUUAGCUAGUUGGUGUGGUAAAGGCGCACCAAGGCGACGAUCCUUAGCUGGUCUGAGAGGAUGAUCAGCCACACUGGGACUGAGACACGGCCCAGACUCCUACGGGAGGCAGCAGUGGGGAAUAUUGGACAAUGGGCGCAAGCCUGAUCCAGCAAUGCCGCGUGAGUGAUGAAGGCCUUAGGGUUGUAAAGCUCUUUUACCCGGGAUGAUAAUGACAGUACCGGGAGAAUAAGCCCCGGCUAACUCCGUG
rnacentral:rRNA from 1 species